GAUGAACGCUGGCGGCGUGCUUAACACAUGCAAGUCGAACGGAAAGGCUCCUGCUUGCAGGGGUACUCGUGUGGCGAACGGGUGAGUAACACGUGGGUGAUCUGCCCUGCACUUCGGGAUAAGCCUGGGAAACUGGGUCUAAUACCGGAUAGGACGAUGGUUUGGAUGCCAUUGUGGACAGUUUUUCGGUGUGGGAUGAGCUCGCGGCCUAUCAGCUUGUUGGUGGGGUAAUGGCCUACCAAGGCGUCGACGGGUAGCCGGCCUGAGAGGGUGUACGGCCACAUUGGGACUGAGAUACGGCCCAGACUCCUACGGGAGGCAGCAGUGGGGAAUAUUGCACAAUGGGCGCAAGCCUGAUGCAGCGACGCCGCGUGGGGGAUGACGGCCUUCGGGUUGUAAACUCCUUUCGCUAGGGACGAAGCGCAAGUGACGGUACCGGGAGAAGAAGCACCGGCUAACUACGUG
rnacentral:rRNA from 1 species